rnacentral:misc_RNA from 1 species
UCCCUGUUACCAGGGCAGUCUAGCCAGAAAAAUUCAACUGACUACAAGGGUUGCGCUCGUUGAUGGACUUAACCAAACAUCUCACGACACGAGCUGACGACGGCCAUGCAUCACCUGUCACCUUGUUCAAUAAAGCACUCUUGCCUUUCGACAGGAUUCAAGGGAUGUCAAGCCUGGGUAAGGUUCUUCGCUUACCGUCGAAUUAAACAACACGCUCCACCGCUUGUGCGGGUCCCCGUCAAUUCCUUUAUGUUUUAAGCUUGCGCUCGUACUCCACAGGCGGGAUGCUUAACGCGUUAGCUUCGCUACUACCCGGGUCGAUACGGGUAACAGCUAGCAUCCAUAGUUUACAGCGUGGACUA